rnacentral:lncRNA from 1 species
UACAGCUCUGAGGUCGCUGAGCUCACUGGCUGUUCUCCUGGGACUCUCUCCAGCCUCCACUCCAAUUAGGGGACUUUCCCUGGCUGCCUCAGCUCCUUCCUGGGUCCCCUGAAUCAGAUAGGCCAGAGCAGAUGUGGAAGAGGCCCUGCUGGGCUCCUCAAGCUGAACCCAGCUCCACUCCCCAGAGCUUUGCCGUGGCUCCCGCAUCUGUUCCACUGCCACACUUAAUUCUGCUGAGAUGACCAGAGCAGGAAGCAGGAAAGCUGACUUCCCUGAAAGAGGCCGCUCCGGUCACCUCCUUCUCCAACCUGGGCAGGGAGGUGAUCCAAAGGCUGGAGGAAGCCAGGCACAAAGAGGCCCAGGCAGCUCUGGAGGGCGCCAUGAAAUUGGAAAAUGCCGACAGCUGCAAGCAAACUGCCCAGGAAGCCCGUGCUCCCUCCUUCCCACCACACAUGGCACAAAAACAUCCUAUGAAAACGAAGGUCAGCUCGAAGUUAACAGGCGGUGGCCUGGGCCUGUGAGUCUAUUCUAGGUUUGUGGAAUGCAAGUGACCUUGUGGCAUCCUUGUCCAGAGGAUGACACAUACGGAGGAGAAAAGCCCAAUCCUUGCAGGUCUGUUGCUGUGUCUGCCCCUUGGAAGGCAGUGCCAGUUGUCCGUCACUAUAGAAACAAUAUCCAAGUGUGCCCCAGAAUGUUGGACCCCAGAACCUUCAUGUAGGUGUCAGCCUCCUGGACUUUAAUGGGGUUUACUCCCACCAUCUGGCAUGCAUAUGUCUUGUUACAGCUUCUUAGGUACUGUCUACUUCCUGCACGGCAAGUGCAUUCUGCAUGAUGUCAACAGUCUGGUGAAUCAGCAUGAUGUCCAUGAUGUCAUAAGUCACCAAGUCCCUUCAGUCUAGAUUUUGUCCUAGCAGGAGAGUUGACACAGCUCUGAAGCACGACAGGAUAUCCUGUUGUCCCUGCUGUGAGUUACAGUGAACUCCUUCUGGUAGUUGCCAGAACAAUAGCUGCAUGUAGUUCCAGGAGCUGUGCUGAUUUUCUCCUCCAGGAGAGAUGUGACAUCUGGAAUAGCAGGUGCCACCACCUGAGCAAGUUUAUAAUAACUCAUGAUCUCUCUCCAAGAUCAAUCCUCCUUUCUGCACAGGACACAGGCAAAUUAAACGGAAACAUACAAAGUGUGAUAGAACUCACAGACUCACCACCUCAAUAUCUUUUAAUAUUAUAGAAUCUUCAAGCAAAGGGAGGUUGGUUGCUUCAAAUAGGGACACAGAGGCAAAGGAGGCUUGAGGGGAGCUGGGAGUUUGAGGUUCUCAGAUUAAUCGGAACUCUUAUUCCCAUCUGGGGGUCCCUCUCUUUUUCAAUCAAUGCCUUAUUGAUUUCACAUAAGGGAUGUGGCAAGGGUGUGAGUUCAAUUUAUGUUGUAAUUCUUCCAUCCAUGAAACUGGAUUGCAAUGUGGAUUAAAUUUGGGGCUUGAUUUUUAGCUGUAUCUUCUCUGGCUACAAAAGGCAAGACAUUUCUUUAGGGCCUUUCUAUGUCUCUGGUUCUCUGAGGACACUUUGAUCUGAAAGUUUAAAGCUCAGAGCUUGUCGCUUUUUUCCUAAAAUCUCUCCAGCACAGUCAGAAAUCGCAUCCCACCCCACGUUCCAUGUCAUAGGCAUUGAUUCUAGUGGCAAAGUGCAGUGGCUGCUUGGUCUGCUAAAGUCUUGCCUUCAACUGACAUCUCUUUCCAGGCGAACACAGGUGGUAAUUUAGGUAACUUUGAUGCCCCUGCUUACCAUGGACCACCAGUGUCUCAGUUCCCCGUCAGUUAGGUCAUUGCUGUGAAUCAGCUGUUUAGCCCAUCCCGAAUCCCACCUUUGAGGGUUUAUCUUCCAGGAACAAUCCUGGUGGUGCUCCGUGCUGCACCAUUCAGGGUCCAUGUAGGAAGCUAAACCACAACAUGAUCACAUCCAGAGGAGGAGGGCUAAUGUAGACACUGGCCGUAGAAGGGUGGAAAGGGCUGAAGGAGCAGAAAGGGAAGGGAUGGCAGCCCAGGGAUGAGCAACUCAGGGACAGCUGACAUCCAGGGCUGGCAGGACACUGCUGUUGACUCUGGUUGAAAGGGGGCUGCCAUGGCUGUUGCCAAGAUCACAGAAGUUCUUGCAGCUGCCAGAACCACGAGCCACGGCAGCCUCCAUCACCAGGAGUGAAGAGAAAGGAGAAUAGCAGCUUCUCCCCACUUCUCUGGGCUUGCAACCUUCUGCCAGCACCUCCCAUUGUCUGAAGCUAGAUGGAACUGGUGCUCCAGGGAGUGUGGGAUUGCAGCGGGCAGGGCUUCAGCCUGGCACAGAGGCACGCUCUCCAGUGGGGAGGGAGCAAAGAGACGACUGGACACAUGAGCAGCGCAGGGGCCAGGCCUUGGCUUCUGUACCAAUCAGUUCCAAACCUGCUCUGUCGCUUCCUAGAUGUGUGACACUCAGAAGCAGUAUCACUUUUCCCAUGAAUGAAAAGGGACUCAUCAUUGCCCAAGGAUUCAAUUAAGUGAAGUUUGUAACAGCGCCCAUCGCAGUGCCUGGCAGCGAAUCUGCCUUCCCUCCGCGCGUCUUGCUUCACCUCUGACUUACUCUCUGACCUUGAACAAGCACCUGGACCUCUCAGGGCUCUGUUUUCUCAUCAGCAAAAUGAAGGGGUUUGGCCUGAGGCUUAGUAGUGACGUGCUGUGCAACAUCCCUUAAAGACUGACUGGGACUGGAAGUGGAGACCAGGGAGGCUCUGGCUGCUUUGAGCGCUCUGAGCUGUGUGCCUCACCAGGGAACGUGCCCACAUGCCAGACAGCUCACACUUCAGCCACCUCCAGGCUGCUGUCUCCCCUGGCAACACCUACCUGGACUCUGUUCCCUUUGAUGCACUCAUGCUCAGCCUGGCUCAAUUGACAAGAAAUUGCCACGGACAGCAUGCUCAGUUCACUGUGGUCUGGGAAAAAGGGACCUUCAAAUUAAAUCUAUCAUUAUGAUUAGGUUUGUAAGCUCUGGGGCCUUCCAGGGGCCUCAGUGCCUGAGCUUUGAGAAUUGUCCUGUUUGGGAUGGAAUUAUGAGUUUAAACCUGUUGGAUUUGAGGCCUGGGGUUGCCGGAGGUGCUUGCAGAGGCCUGCGUCCCUGGGAAGCGUUGUAGCUUAGUGGUCAUGGUGAAGGGCUGUUGAGUGCCCAGUCUGCCACAUGCUAAUCUGCUAGGGUUGUUUAGAUUCUCUCUGACACUUAGUUUCUUCCUUUGUAAGGUAGGAUUAAUAAUAUCUACUGUGAUCAACACAUGCUGUUUUUAUUCCCUAGUCAUCCCUUCCUCCUCUGUGUAUAGUACCACCUUUACCCUUCAUUUAGGAAACUGAGCUCUUUGCACUCCCCAGGCCAUGAGGUUCAGAAAGGAUUACUAAUCACAGCCCACAUCCUGCCUCCCCUCCUUAGAGACAGUUAAAGGCCCAGCCAGGCCAAUCAUAGAUGACAGAUCCAUCGAUCACAGAUCCAUAGAUCUCUGGAAACUGACUGGUCCAAGAAAUGGGCAUGUGACCUAAUCAGGCCAAUCGGAAUCCCUGUCUGGGGUUUGGUCUCCAGCUAUUGGGAGACUGCAACUCUUUCUUCUCUAUGGAGUCCCAGUUGGGAUGAUGCAAGCUUGCAACUCCUGCCUCCCCUCUUUUGCCUGUCCCAUAAGGUGGUAAAAAGGAGCAGGGACAGGGCCUGUGAUGGGAGUGACUGGGGAGUUUCUGAGGAAGAGGAGGCCAGCGAGAGUGGGCGGGGCCGUGGAGAGGAUGAGCCAGAAAGGUAGACAGGGCUGGAUCGCUCGUGGCACAAUAAGAGACGUUAAGAAAGAAGGAGAUCUGAUUAUCUAAUUUGAAUCCCUGGAUCCAGUCAUGCCUGAAGCAG